rnacentral:tRNA from 1 species
UCGGAUAUGGUGUAACGGCUAGCAUUGCCGCCUCUCAUAGUACUAUGGUUUCUGGAUCUGCGGCAGCUCGGGGUUCAAUUCCUCGUAUCCGAA